rnacentral:ncRNA from 1 species
UGAAAGGCAGUGAUGGAGGAAAGUAACCGAGUGAAAAUCGCCAGGGAAGUGGGGGCGAGGACUGUAACCUCCGCUCGAUGGAAUCUCGGCGAAGUUCCCUCCUGAGCCUCCCGGGGGAAUGCCGUUCAUGCGGCCAGUAGUUCGGGACGGAGUCUCACCGUUAUCAAAGAGGAGCCGAUCGCUUUGAGCCGGAGCUGUCGGUGCAGAGUGGGCUCAUAUCGAGCCAAGAAGGGUGGUACCGCGGGUAAUGAUCCCGUCCCUUAA